CUUGUGCCACGGUGGCCCAAAUGUCAGUCAACCAGACAUGUCUUCUGAGAGUUCCCAGGAAUGUGGUGAAGAGCAACUGUAAGCGAUAAGAUUGUUCCCAGCGCUAAUAAAACUUUGGAGUUAAUUAACUGAGAAGAAGGUAAAAUGAAAUGUUGUUAUGAGGGCUAAAGUUGUUUUUCUACCUUUUUGAAAAUUAUUUUUUAUCUGUUGAAAUUAUAAUAUAAUUAUCAUCUCUCCUUCUUUUUGCUCCCCUCUCAGAAAUUAACAGCCUUGAGUUGCAGGUGGAAGGUGCAGAAGCCAAAUUAAAAACAGUCUUUUCAGGCUGAGCUCAGGAGCCUGAAUUUCCAUGCUGUAAGUGGCUGGGAUCCACUGGAGGAUUUUAAUUGUGUAAGUUGACAAGAUCAGAUUUGCUAUUCAGAAAGCACACCCUGGCACAGAUCGGUGGGUGGAAUAGAAAGUGGUUGCCCUGGAGACAGGCAGACCCAUUAGGAAGCUCUGACAAAGAUCCAGGAGAGAGAAAAUGAGGAUAGUGGUUGGAGGAAUGAGCAGAUUCAAAGACAUUUUAGAGGUGGAACGGAUGGUCGGGAGACGCUCAUUCAGUGUAAAUGCUGAAGGAAAGGAAGAACCAAGGAGCGCUGUGGUUUCCAGCUUGGAUUUCUAUAUGGAUAGUGAAUAAUUAAUGAAGAUGUGGCGGGCGGGCAUAAUGGGGACUUAAGAGGGAGGUAGUUGUAGAUGGACGUGAUCAAUAUACAUUUGUUUAAAUGUGUAUAACUUUCAAAGAGUAAGAGAAUUAUUAUUUUAAUAGAUCAAGGUAUAAAAUACAAAAAAAAGUCAAAUGGGGGGGGGGGUUUGCUAAUGAAUUCAUAUGUGACCUGUUGAAUUUGAUGUAUCUUUUGGACUUGUAGGUGAAGAAGUCACAUGUGGUGAAUAUAUUAUCAUCAGAAUGCGGAGCAAUGAAAUGUAAACAGAUAGGAAUCGUCACUAAAGCUCCAACUGCAGCCUCCGGGUGCCAUAGCUUUUGCACCAUCCAUUUGCACCAUCUCUGCAGUAAGUCCUAGCUCAAGCCUUACUCCAAAGUACAAAUUAGCAUAGCAGCUCAGUCAACAAUGCCUCCGAGCUUCUGGAAAGAAAGAUGCUCAGUCACCAUAGACCCAGAAUUAAUGAAAAGUCACAGAAAUAAUAGCUCCAUUCUCUACUUGCUUCUGAACCUCAAAUCAGUGGUUGGCAACAAGGAUGUCUGCAUCAUCUGUAUUGACCUGCUCCCCAGAUUAAUACCGAAGCACUGCAAUUUCUUGAGGAUUAUCCACCUAGGAGGAAAUGAUACGCUGGCCCAUCCAUAGUAGUCAAGGUUUCUUGGAAGAGAAGAAUGAGAUUGGAUCUGAGAAAAUGUGGCUGGUAAUGAACUCUACGAAGGGAUUUUUAUACUCUCUCUUUGGCAGUCCAUCCUGUGAAAUAAUAAUGAGGUUGGAGGAUGGCUGCUAACCAUCCCUUGCUUUUCCGUGCCAGGGAACCACCAUCUCAGAUGGUAGAAACCACUCAGAAGGAUCAACUGCUGCAGACGGGAAGAGGAGCAACCUCGUGAAUAAUUUCGUGACAGGAUAUUGCAGGAGGGACUUUGUCCAAAUGUGUGCAGGGUAGUUGGCUACAGCAACAAGGAUGACGAACACAGAUGAAUUGAUCAGGAUGUAACCAUUCAAAGUUGAGAGGAUUAGAGGACUUCUCCGAGGCGGCUCCAAUGGAUGCCAGCAGAGUUAAAGUGUCCAAUGGAGAGAAGAGAAGGCUUGGGAAAUCCAGAGUCCAUUCAUUCAUCGCCCUCCUCCUAGAACAACAAAAGCGAGCCCCAGUACUCAUCAGCAUGGACUCUGUGUGUAGUCAUCUCCCUUAGUUUCAGAGGUUCCUGCCUACAGCAAAACUUUAGAGGCUUAGAGUUUAACGGUCAUAGCUUAUUCACCUCCAACUGUGUCCUAGUUCAAGAGAAACACUUCACAUAUCUGUAGGGAGAAGAUAAUGAACCAAGGAUACAAGUUAAGCCUUAGCUAAGACCUGUUACUCAGGAAAAAGAGCUAAAACAAGCUGCUUAGAUCAGCACCAAUGUUAGGUAGAGAGAAAAAGAAACGCUGCAUAGAAAUCUUAAGGUUCACAUGUGCUCCAGGCUGGGUCAACAACUUCUAAUUUCCUUUGCCAACCAACCAUGUCUUUGACAGAAAUGAUCCUUCUACAUAGACCACAGAGGGAUCCAAUGGAGGUUUCUCUUCCUGAAUUUGGGGAUUCAGAAUCUGGACAAAUUCCUUUCCAUCAAAGUCCAGUACAAAAGUAGUACCAUGGCAGUCCCUGCAGGGACUUGCAUCACUUUCCCUAGAGAUAUCAAGAGAAUUUUUAGUGAUAAGAAUAUGGCACAAAAUGAGAAAUCCCAUUACUCUUAAGAGAAUCUCUUCCUUCUCAAAGGCACCUGAUUAAUACAUAUAGUACUAUCAGUAAGGCUGAGCAAAAGGAUACUGAUGUUCUGAGUGAUCUUAAAUCAUGUAAUAAUAACUUUAUUCGUAGUAUAGAACGGAAUAUUCCCUAUUAGUAAUCAGUUCCUUUGCCAGAUCCUCAUAGUAUCUUAGUCACUGUUUUAUUGUUAUGAAGAGAAACUUUGACCACAGCACCUCUUAGAAAAAAGGAAGCAUUUAAUCGGGACUUCCUUAUGGUUUCACAGUUUUACAUAAUUGUCAACAUGGCAGAGAACAUGGGGGCACGCAAACAGACAUGGUGCUGGAGAAGUAGCGGAGAAUAUACAGCAACAUAUAGAUACAAAAUAUAGAUACAUAUAGAUACAGAAUAUAGAUACAUAUAGCUACAUAUAGAUCUGCAGGCAGCAGGAAGAGACUGGGACAAGGCCAUACCUUCUAAGGCUUCUCAAGGAGUGUCACUUCCUGAUGACCAAGCAUUCAAGUGUAUGAGCUUAUGGGAGCCAUUCUUAUUCAAGCCACCACACAUAGCAAAGCUGAUAAUGUCAUUUUCUGAAUUAACCAGGCCAAGGCACACUUCUUAGCAACAUGGUUACCUGGUAACCAGAGAUUUUUCUCAUCCCAUGAGAGAUUUCAUUCAAGAACUGAUCUUCUAACAGUUUUGUCUCUCUUAAGAAUGCUACAGACAGGGUGGGGUGAGGCACAGUGCUGAAGCCCCUCAAGUUUCCCAGAGGGAUGAGUCCAUGAAAGACGAAAAUCAUGUGGUCACACUGAGCAUAGACUUCACAAGCAUCAUGCUAGGAUUCCAUUUUCUUUCUCAACACAAUGAUAAAUUCUUCUUCCAAUAAGCAGAAAAUCAUCCAAUGGGAAAAAAAAAUAAAACCAACUAACUUGCAGUCCUUUGGAACAGUUUCAUAGCUUACAGGAUGGCUUCAUAACCCUGGGGACACUCGUUUUGACAUGAAAACUUCCUUCAGAACAGGAAUUCUGAUCCAACAUGUGCUCAGACAUCAUUUCAGUCACUUGCAAAUGAACAAGAAAGCUCAUGUAAAUGAGGAGGCUCAACUCCCAGGCCUGGUGAGUGGGUAAGACAUUCCUCUGCUGGGUUUUGAAGGCUGUCUGAAACCAUCGGCUGACAUCCUUCUCUGUGUGCAUGUAUGCACUAUCUACGGGAAAUUCAGCUCCAACCGGUUGUCUCUACAGCUCCCUUAAUCUUCUCCUCCCUCCUCCUGGCAUUGGCAUGUGUCCCAGGACUGCAGCGAGGAGUGCUUACCAACAAAGGUGCUGGCAUCUGCAUUUGUUUCACAGCCACAAACCUAAUGGUUCCAUGAUUUUGGCGAGCAAAACUGUCAAAAUGCCUGAGCACAAGAGAUCACAAGAUGAGCCAAGGCAUAGUGUGCAUGCCUUCCUUCCCAGCACUCGGAAGGCAGAGGCAAGGGGAUCUCUGUGGGUUCAAGGCCAGCCUGAAUCACAAGGUGUACUGGGGAUUCUUUUUUAUUGUUUUCCUUUUGCUAUCUGGAAUAGUUUGAGAUUGUAUUUGAUCAGUGCAUUAAACAAC
rnacentral:lncRNA from 1 species